ACGCUUCGGUGAUGUUUUAGCACUGGGCUCUGAGCUUAUGUGUAGACAACGUGCAGUUCUGCUCUUGACAUGGCAGAACCUGAGAAGUGC